rnacentral:rRNA from 1 species
AUUGAACGCUGGCGGCAUGCCUUACACAUGCAAGUCGAACGGCAGCACGGGAGCAAUCCUGGUGGCGAGUGGCGAACGGGUGAGUAAAGUAUCGGAACGUGCCCAGUCGUGGGGGAUAACGUAGCGAAAGUUACGCUAAUACUGCAUACGAUCUAUGGAUGAAAGCGGGGGAUCGCAAGACCUCGCGCGACUGGAGCGGCCGAUAUCAGAUUAGGUAGUUGGUGGGGUAAAGGCUCACCAAGCCGACGAUCUGUAGCUGGUCUGAGAGGACGACCAGCCACACUGGGACUGAGACACGGCCCAGACUCCUACGGGAGGCAGCAGUGGGGAAUUUUGGACAAUGGGCGCAAGCCUGAUCCAGCCAUGCCGCGUGCAGGAUGAAGGCCUUCGGGUUGUAAACUGCUUUUGUACGGAACGAAAAGGUUUGACUUAAUACGUUGGACUCAUGACGGUACCGUAAGAAUAAGCACCGGCUAACUACGUGCCAGCAGCCGCCGUAA